rnacentral:rRNA from 1 species
UACGAAGGGGGCUAGCGUUGUUCGGAAUUACUGGGCGUAAAGCGCGUGUAGGCGGGUCGUAAGUCGGGGGUGAAAGCCCAGAGCUCAACUCUGGAACUGCCUUCGAUACUGGCGACCUGGAGCAAGAUAGAGGCGGGUGGAAUUACGAGUGUAGAGGUGAAAUUCGUAGAUAUUCGCAGGAACACCAGUGGCGAAGGCGACUCGCUGGAUCUUUGCUGACGCUGAGACGCGAAAGCGUGGGUAGCAAACAGG